CGAGCGUUGUCCGGAAUUACUGGGCGUAAAGAGCUCGUAGGUGGUUUGUCGCGUUGUCCGUGAAAACUCACAGCUCAACUGUGGGCGUGCGGGCGAUACGGGCAGACUGGAGUACUGCAGGGGAGACUGGAAUUCCUGGUGUAGCGGUGGAAUGCGCAGAUAUCAGGAGGAACACCGGUGGCGAAGGCGGGUCUCUGGGCAGUAACUGACGCUGAGGAGCGAAAGCGUGGGGAGCGAACAGGAUUAGAUACCCUGGUAGUCCACGCCGUAAACGGUGGGUACUAGGUGUGGGUUUCCUUCCUUGGGAUCCGUGCCGUAGCUAACGCAUUAAGUACCCCGCCUGGGGAGUACGGCCGCAAGGCUAAAACUCAAAGAAAUUGACGGG
rnacentral:rRNA from 1 species